CAAUCAAACCGGGAGAUAGCUGGUUCUCCCCGAAAGCUAUUUAGGUAGCGCCUCGUGAAUUCAUCUCCGGGGGUAGAGCACUGUUUCGGCUAGGGGGCCAUCCCGGCUUACCAACCCGAUGCAAACUGCGAAUACCGGAGAAUGUUAUCACGGGAGACACACGGCGGGUGCUAACGUCCGUCGUGAAGAGGGAAACAACCCAGACCGCCAGCUAAGGUCCCAAAGUCAUGGUUAAGUGGGAAACGAUGUGGGAAGGCCCAGACAGCCAGGAUGUUGGCUUAGAAGCAGCCAUCAUUUAAAGAAAGCGUAAUAGCUCACUGGUCGAGUCGGCCUGCGCGGAAGAUGUAACGGGGCUAAACCAUGCACCGAAGCUGCGGCAGCGAACGUAUCACCCAAGACAACUUUACGGAGUUGACGAUUGACGGAGCGAAGCGACGUCAAAGCGUUCAUUAAAGUCGAGUUGGCUUAGGGAUACGUUCGUUGGGUAGGGGAGCGUUCUGUAAGCCUGUGAAGGUGUGUCGUGAGGCAUGCUGGAGGUAUCAGA
rnacentral:rRNA from 1 species